AGAGUUUGAUCAUGGCUCAGGAUGAACGCUGGCGGCGCGCCUAACACAUGCAAGUCGAGCGAGAGAUGAGGAGCUUGCUCUUCAAAUCGAGUGGCGAACGGGUGAGUAACGCGUGAGGAACCUGCCUCAAAGAGGGGGACAACAGUUGGAAACGACUGCUAAUACCGCAUAAGCCCACGGCUCGGCAUCGAGCAGAGGGAAAAGGAGUGAUCCGCUUUGAGAUGGCCUCGCGUCCGAUUAGCUAGUUGGUGAGGUAACGGCCCACCAAGGCAACGAUCGGUAGCCGGACUGAGAGGUUGAACGGCCACAUUGGGACUGAGACACGGCCCAGACUCCUACGGGAGGCAGCA
rnacentral:rRNA from 1 species